GACGAACGCUGGCGGCGUGCUUAACACAUGCAAGUCGAACGAAGUGGCGAACGGGUGAGUAACGCGUAAUCAACCUGCCCUUCAUAGGGGGAAAACAGCUGGAAACGACUGCUAACACCCCAUACUGAAGGAGGGGAUGGAGUCGAAUUAGCGAGUUGGAGGGGUAACGGCCCACCAAGGCGAUGAUCAGUAGCCGGUCUGAGGGGGUGAACGGCCACAUUGGGACUGAGACACGGCCCAGACUCCUACGGGAGGCAGCAGGGGGGAAUCAUCCGCAAUGGAGGAAAGUCUGACGGAGCAACGCCGCGUGAGUGAUGACGGCCUUCGGGUUGUAAAGCUCUGUUAAUCGGGACGCGGUACCGGAAUAGAAAGCCACGGCUAACUACGUGCCAGCAGCCGCGGUAAUAC
rnacentral:rRNA from 1 species